CACCAGCCUGCCAGCCUUCUCAUUGGGCUCACCCCUCCCCAGCAACCCCUGCGUCCCACCCUUGAGCCAUGCUGUCUUCUCUGUAAGCAGCCUGCCAGCAGCAGCCCCAGCACUUUGCAGUGGGCAUGUGUGUGGUGGUGGGUGGGGGGCUUGGAUCCCUCCUUUUUCCUCCUCUGCCCUGCCCAGUCCCAGAUGGCCUUGGUUGUAAAGCAGGUGCUGCCUGACAGGUUCUUCUCUCCCUGUCCCUGGUCAUCGAUCCAUCUCUUUGUCCAUUCAGUAUCCAACCAUCCUCUCCAUUCUCCUCUGGACCUCACCACUCUCAGAGCUGCUUGUCCUGGCAGAAUCUACAGUUCACCCCGACUCUACCCCUUACCCCUCCCAACCCAACAGUAUUUGCAGUUUGCAAAAUCCACAGACCCAAGGUCCUAAGGGGAGUGAGGACAUGAUGCUGGGCCCAUGUCUCCUGCUCAGGGCUUCUCUCCACCGCCAGCCCUGCCGCUCCUUCCUCACCCUCCUUGGAGCCUCCUCUGCUGCUUGUCUAUCCCAAUGGCCCUGCUCCCCUCCCUUCUUGCCCUUCACCAGCUUUCUGGACACCAUGCCCUGAGGAAGGGACCUUUAGUUUUCUCUAAACAUCUUUGAAGGGCUGAAGCAGUCAGGGCCGGCUGCCUUGUCACUCUUUAUUUGGAAGCUACUCAAACCAUUCCCAAGAAGAGGGGCCUCAGCUGGCAAUCUGGAAACCUGGCCCAGGUCUGGGCAGGUGUCUCCACUUCUCCCACCCUCCCAGUCUUGUGAUCCUGUGAUGAGCACCAGGAUGGUCCUGUGGGCCCUAGAGCACCCCUCCUGCUGUAGGGUUUUGCAGCCCAUCCAUUCUCUACUGGGCCCUGGUAUCCUGGCUUCUCUCAGCUCUGCCGCUGAUCUCUGUGCCUUAGUUUACUUCUCUGCACGGGGGACUCACCCCAAGACCAUUUCCAGCAGCUUCCCAGGUGAUGUCAUGCCCCAAGGCUGGGCUUUGCCAGCUGUGACCCAGCUCCUUAGUGCUGCCCAGGAGGCACCAGGUUGCUGAGAAUGAGGUGACUGCGGGCACCAUUCUCAGCCAGUGGUUCUUGUAUUGCAUUCCAGCAGCAGGGAUAUCACCUGGGAACUUGAUAGAAGUGCAAAUUAUUGGCCCCACCCAAGACUCACUGAAUUAGAGCUUAUGGAGUGGGGCCUUACAAGCUGGGAUUUUAAGAAGCCCUCCAGAUGAUUCUGACAUGCAUAAGAAUAUGCCAACUGCUGAUCUGGGCUAGCCAUUAGUAUAGCCUGGGGAGGGACUGGGACUGGCUAGGCCAAGAACAGGUGGAAAACACCACCCUCAUCUGGACUCCUGAGAUUGGGAAUCACCGCCAACAAAAACCAACCCUAUAGUCGCUCCUCUCGGAAGAGGAAGAGAAGUUGGAGGGCCUGGAGAAAGCAUUCAUCGUUUCUUUCCCUGCUUCUGCACUUGUCUCGGUUUUACAAAAGGCUGUGUGGAUGGUGCCAGCCAGGGAGGGUGUGGGAGUCCUGGGGAGGCAGGAGGCAGAAGACCCUGACUGUUUAUCCCUUGGGAACCUCACCAUAGGCCAGAUAGCCCCUCUUCAAAUGGAAAGAAAUCUUAACUCCACAAGGAAAGAAGCUGAAAUCCCCAGUUCCUCCUCCUCCCAACCCCAGGGAUACCUUGUAGACAGUGCCAAAAAACAGCUCCAACCCCCAGCAGCUGGGAAGAGAGCCAGAAGCUGCCCUUCCUCCUCAUCCUGGCCCCUCCCCAGCCCCCGCCAAUACUGUGAACCCCCUUCCCACUCAGCCUGGUUUCCUGGUGAGGGUCCUGCAGUCGUGGGCCCUGGGGGACCCCCCAGGGCAAGGCCCAUGGGAGGGAAGGGACCAAGGGCAUCCUUGGGCCAACUGUCCACCUCUCUUGUCCACUGUUCUCUCCUUUCCACUUCUGUCUUCAAAAGGCUCCUUCCCAGGAUGGAUCGGGUGCUAGGACAACUGCAGUCCAAUCCACCAGCUCUCCCUGCCCCUGUGUCUUAUUUCAGACAUGAGAAUAACUGUACAGUGUAAACUUAUAAAGCGUUUUUAAUGGUUGUAGAUUGGAAAUAAAGUAUGUCAUAUGAACA
rnacentral:lncRNA from 1 species